rnacentral:lncRNA from 1 species
AUUGUUUAGUGUGGUCAUUGCGAAGCUUCGGUGCUGUGUGGAUGUGAUGUUCUUUGAUAUUUAACCGACGGGUUUAUCCGGAUUUUAUGGCAAGGGACUUUGGAGCUUAUACUCUUUCGCGUGGGGUCAUUGAGCUGACGAUUGUCAACCUAGUUUCUUCAUUGACUGCUCGGGUGGAGAUCCGUUUUCUUGUGGCUUCUUUAGGAUGAAGCUUGCUCUUAAGUGACGGUUGCUGGCGGGUCCUCAGGUGUUGGUCCUCAAGCCUUGCUCUCAUCCCAAAUAAAUUUGACAUCCAACGCUUUUUCAUUUAUUCUAGCAUCCGGCUCCAGCUAGCUUCUCUUCUUGACGAUUAUGUGUGAACACUAGAAGUUUUUAAGACUCUUUCUCAUUUUUUUUAAGUUUAUGUAAUCGAUUUCAGCUUCUUUAUUGGUUCUGGGGGCUUUGUUUAGUCCCGCCGGCUUAUGGCUCUGGAAGGAAUGUAUUCUUCGCCGGUUCUGGUUUGUAAGAACUGUUGUUUAUGUGUUUAAUAUAAUCUACAGAUGAAAAAAAAAAAAGAGAUACUUUCCCUAUGAAAAUAUCAAAAGAGAAAGACUGUAAGGAGGGAGUAAACGGACUGUUGCGUAAUUUAACUUGCGACUGCUUCGUUUGAUCCAAUGAAACUAAUUUUGACGAAUUUGUAUUAAAACUAUUAUUUUUGUCGCACCAACAAAAUAUUCGGGAGAUAAUACAUGUACUGAUGAACCGAUGCCGCAUGCGACAAUGAUUAAAUAAUAGUUAUAUAAUUGUUCUUGUUAAGUGGAAAAUGUUCUGAAUUUCGCAGACUUUCCGUUAGCCAUUAGCCAUCGCAAUAUUCUUUAUCUGCCCCCUCAAAAGGUAACGAAUGGCGAAUGGCGACAGUUGAAAAUGCGGAAUUCAAUUACGCUCUUAGAAAAACGCAUUUCGUCACCAUUCACAUGAUAACUAACUCGCGGUGCGUAUUCUUGUAAAAUACCGCACUUGUCCACAACAGAAAAUAAAACUAUUUUGUUUGGUCUAAAUUCUACAAUAACGCACAUGAUAAGAAUCCGCUUGAAUUGAUACAAAGUAACAAAAGAUUUAUAUAAUAAUGUUCUUUUCAGAUCUCCAUUAAUAUCUUUAUAAGGAUCAGAGUGGUCCUUACGUAACAUGUGAUUAAACAACGAGACUGACCGGAAAAAGAAAGGUUAAACGUCUAAUAUCGACUGCAAGUGGACACAUACCAUGUAUGCAUAUAUUUAAAUGUAAUAUCAGAUCAAGCUGACAGAAAAAUAUUGAGGAAUCAAUGAAUGAUACACACAUAUACUUUUUUUCUUCUUCUUCGUCGAUGACUCGAUGUAUGUUUAGAGUUUAAACCAUACGGAAUCUCGCUACGUUGAUGACAUAACUGAUUAUCAAAAUGAUUUGGUAAGUAUAUAUUAUAAACCGUAUUUCAUGUUUAUGACUGUCACAAGUGCAACUUAUAGAAUUAGCAAAUAACAAUUUGCAUAUAUGUACUGACACAGAAAAAUAUAUCAACCACUUGUCGGCAAAAAACAUAUAUGCGUAAACAUUUAAUUUGUUAGAUUUAGCCAUCUAGGCAAAAUAAUAAUAAUUAAUUUGUUAGAAGAUAAACAAAGAGUAUAGAAUUAGUUAACUACAUUUGAAAUCAAAUUGCAAACGUGUCACUAGUUUAGGGAAAAAAUUGUGUCACUUGUCAUAGGCAGUUAGGUAUAUAAUAGAGAAUGCAACAAGUUUUACUAACUUUUAAGAUAAACAAUUAACUGUACAUCAAACUAAACAAGAAAGAACACAUUAUUGAAUGUGAGACUGAAUGGUCAUUGAGGCGUAAUGUUUGAUCAACAAGAUCGUCUGAAAAUGUUAAGACGUGUUAAACUGUUAAUCAUACAAGACACAGAGAGAGAGUUUCGUGUUCUUCUUUUGUUAACAGUUUUAAAUCAAUACGACUAAGCAAUUAUGAACAGCACAGUUGUCUGGUCAUAAUAUAUAGAGGGGAGCUAUGAGAAGGCGAAAGAAAGAGAGAGGAAGGAAGAGAGGAGAAUGAAGAUAAGAAUAAGACUUCCCGCAAUGAGAAACUGUAAACUAUAGGCUGAAUGAGUCUGACGUCUUUUUUAGAAGCCUUCAACGUUGACUUUCUAAAUUGUUCGCUCAUGUCGUAACGUGAGGACUUCUCAAUUAUUAUUAUUACCGUGUUCUUUUGUGCCUUUUUCAUUAUGAUUCCUUUGGCCUUGUUGUAGCCUUGUGGGUGGGUCAUUCAAUCAUGUUUUUUUUUUUUUUUUUCAUUUCACUUCAGAUCUUUUCUAGUCUUGUUUGGCAACUAGAUCAAUCAUACUCGUGUUUCAGCUUGGUUUGGUUUUAAAAUUUCAAAUUAAAUUAUUGUUAGUUGUAUAAUACUAUAGUUAUCCAUUUGACCAAAAAUAUACUAUAGUUAAUUAUCUCAAAUGGCACUUGACAUAAAUUAAUUAAGGAUGACAAUACCAUAAUUACCAUAAUGGGAUCUCGCUGGAAACCUGUAUGCUUUUUACUUUAUUUUUAUUUUUUUACCAUGUUGUCUUAAUAUAUUAUCUAAAGUAAUAAAAUAUUUCAAAGAAUGAGAUACUUUCCCUAUCAAAAACACUGAUACCCUUCGUUCCGAUUCCUCUGCUGCUCCUCUCUUAGCUUUCUCCCGAUCAAGAAGAUCCUCCUUCUCCGGUCCGGCACCGGCGUGCCGGUGCCGGAGGUUUAAUCCUUUAACCCUUCCUCUCCUUUUCCUUUUGCCUUUCUCCCCAUCGGUUUUAACCCUGUCGAGAUGCUCGUGACUCUGAGCCUGGCUGAGUCUCACCGGAAACUGUAGAGGUUGAAGGUGGCUUCAUAUGGUGGUGUUGGAGGAACGGCGAGACAGUGGAACGACAGAUGCGGUUUGUGGUGUAGGUUUGGUUCUGUUCAUCAUUGUAUCGACUUGUUUGGGUUGUCUCUCUAGCUCCGAAUCUGUUUUCUGGUGCGCGGUGCAGGACUAAGCCGGCUCUGAUGUGGGUUGUUACUUCUUCCAUCGGAUUUGGAGAGACGUGUCUUAGGCAGGUCAAUGGUGGUUAUGGAUGCUCGAUCUUGUUUUCUAUUUCCUUUGGCAGUUGGUAUUGAAGGUCUGGUCUUGAAUUGAGUUCAGAGUUCUUUGAAUUUCUGGUGAAAGAGUGGUCUGUGGCUGUGUUUGAAGAGUCCUUGAUGAGGGCUUUUAGCUAUGGAGUGUGUUCAUAUUGGGGCUUGUCCUCGAUACGGUGGCCUCUUUUGACCCUUGAGUUUGAUUGUUUAGUGUGGUCAUUGCGAAGCUUCGGUGCUGUGUGGAUGUGAUGUUCUUUGAUAUUUAACCGACGGGUUUAUCCGGAUUUUAUGGCAAGGGACUUUGGAGCUUAUACUCUUUCGCGUGGGGUCAUUGAGCUGACGAUUGUCAACCUAGUUUCUUCAUUGACUGCUCGGGUGGAGAUCCGUUUUCUUGUGGCUUCUUUAGGAUGAAGCUUGCUCUUAAGUGACGGUUGCUGGCGGGUCCUCAGGUGUUGGUCCUCAAGCCUUGCUCUCAUCCCAAAUAAAUUUGACAUCCAACGC